rnacentral:rRNA from 1 species
GAUGAACGCUGGCGGCGUGCCUAAUACAUGCAAGUAGAACGCUGAAGGAAGGAGCUUGCUCUUUCCGGAUGAGUUGCGAACGGGUGAGUAACGCGUAGGUAACCUGCCUGGUAGCGGGGGAUAACUAUUGGAAACGAUAGCUAAUACCGCAUAACAGUAGUUGUUGCAUUAUAUCUACUUAAAAGGUGCAAUUGCACCACUACCAGAUUGACCUGCGUUGUAUUAGCUAGUUGUUGAGGUAACGGCUCACCAAGGCGACGAUACAUAGCCGACCUGAGAGGGUGAUCGGCCACACUGGGACUGAGACACGGCCCAGACUCCUACGGGAGGCAGCAGUAGGGAAUCUUCGGCAAUGGACGGAAGUCUGACCGAGCAACGCCGAGUGAGUGAAGAAGGUUUUCGGAUCGUAAAGCUCUGUUGUAAGAGAAGAACGAGUGUGAGAGUGGAAAGUUCACACUGUGACGGUAUCUUACCAGAAAGGGACGGCUAACUACGUG